rnacentral:tRNA from 1 species
AGGCAGGUCAGCUAAACAAGCUCUUGGGCCCAUACCCCAAAAAUGUUGGUGAAAUUCCUUCCCUUCCUA